rnacentral:rRNA from 1 species
GUUAUAUGGUCAAGUGAAGAAGCGCAUACGGUGGAUGCCUUGGCAGUCAGAGGCGAUGAAAGACGUGGUAGCCUGCGAAAAGCUUCGGGGAGUCGGCAAACAGACUGUGAUCCGGAGAUGUCUGAAUGGGGGAACCCAGCCAUCAUAAGAUGGUUAUCUUGUACUGAAUACAUAGGUGCAAGAGGCGAACCAGGGGAACUGAAACAUCUAAGUACCCUGAGGAAAAGAAAUCAACCGAGAUUCCCUUAGUAGUGGCGAGCGAACGGGGACCAGCCCUUAAGUUGUAUUGAGAUUAGCGGAACGUUCUGGAAAGGACGGCCAUAGUGGGUGAUAGCCCUGUACGCGAAAAUCCCUUUGCAAUGAAAUCGAGUAGGACGGGGCACGAGAAACCUUGUCUGAAUAUGGGGGGACCAUCCUCCAAGGCUAAAUACUACUGACUGACCGAUAGUGAACCAGUACCGUGAGGGAAAGGCGAAAAGAACCGCGGAGAGCGGAGUGAAAUAGAUCCUGAAACCGUAUGCGUACAAGCAGUGGGAGCCCACUUUGUUGGGUGACUGCGUACCUUUUGUAUAAUGGGUCAGCGACUUAUUUUCAGUGGCGAGCUUAACCGAAUAGGGGAGGCGUAGCGAAAGCGAGUCUUAAUAGGGCGUCUAGUCGCUGGGAAUAGACCCGAAACCGGGCGAUCUAUCCAUGGGCAGGUUGAAGGUUGGGUAACACUAACUGGAGGACCGAACCGACUACCGUUGAAAAGUUAGCGGAUGACCUGUGGAUCGGAGUGAAAGGCUAAUCAAGCUCGGAGAUAGCUGGUUCUCCUCGAAAGCUAUUUAGGUAGCGCCUCAUGUAUCACUGUAGGGGGUAGAGCACUGUUUCGGCUAGGGGGUCAUCCCGACUUACCAAACCGAUGCAAACUCCGAAUACCUACAAGUGCCGAGCAUGGGAGACACACGGCGGGUGCUAACGUCCGUCGUGAAAAGGGAAACAACCCAGACCGUCAGCUAAGGUCCCAAAGUCAUGGUUAAGUGGGAAACGAUGUGGGAAGGCUUAGACAGCUAGGAGGUUGGCUUAGAAGCAGCCACCCUUUAAAGAAAGCGUAAUAGCUCACUAGUCGAGUCGGCCUGCGCGGAAGAUGUAACGGGGCUCAAACCAUGCACCGAAGCUACGGGUAUCAUCUUAUGAUGAUGCGGUAGAGGAGCGUUCUGUAAGCCUGUGAAGGUGAGUUGAGAAGCUUGCUGGAGGUAUCAGAAGUGCGAAUGCUGACAUGAGUAACGACAAUGGGUGUGAAAAACACCCACGCCGAAAGACCAAGGUUUCCUGCGCAACGUUAAUCGACGCAGGGUUAGUCGGUCCCUAAGGCGAGGCUGAAAAGCGUAGUCGAUGGAAAACAGGUUAAUAUUCCUGUACUUCUGGUUAUUGCGAUGGAGGGACGGAGAAGGCUAGGCCAGCCUGGCGUUGGUAGUCCAGGUUUAAGGUGGUAGGCUGAGAUCUUAGGUAAAUCCGGGAUCUUAAGGCCGAGAGCUGAUGACGAGUGUUCUUUUAGAACAUGAAGUGGUUGAUGCCAUGCUUCCAAGAAAAGCUUCUAAGCUUCAGGUAACCAGGAACCGUACCCCAAACCGACACAGGUGGUUGGGUAGAGAAUACCAAGGCGCUUGAGAGAACUCGGGUGAAGGAACUAGGCAAAAUGGCACCGUAACUUCGGGAGAAGGUGCGCCGGUGAGGGUGAAGCAUUUACUGCGUAAGCCCACGCCGGUCGAAGAUACCAGGCCGCUGCGACUGUUUAUUAAAAACACAGCACUCUGCAAACACGAAAGUGGACGUAUAGGGUGUGACGCCUGCCCGGUGCCGGAAGGUUAAUUGAUGGGGUUAGCGCAAGCGAAGCUCUUGAUCGAAGCCCCGGUAAACGGCGGCCGUAACUAUAACGGUCCUAAGGUAGCGAAAUUCCUUGUCGGGUAAGUUCCGACCUGCACGAAUGGCGUAACGAUGGCGGCGCUGUCUCCACCCGAGACUCAGUGAAAUUGAAAUCGCUGUGAAGAUGCAGUGUAUCCGCGGCUAGACGGAAAGACCCCGUGAACCUUUACUAUAGCUUUGCACUGGACUUUGAAUUUGCUUGUGUAGGAUAGGUGGGAGGCUUUGAAGCGUGGACGCCAGUCUGCGUGGAGCCAACCUUGAAAUACCACCCUGGCAACUUUGAGGUUCUAACUCAGGUCCGUUAUCCGGAUCGAGGACAGUGUAUGGUGGGUAGUUUGACUGGGGCGGUCUCCUCCUAAAGAGUAACGGAGGAGUACGAAGGUGCGCUCAGACCGGUCGGAAAUCGGUCGUAGAGUAUAAAGGCAAAAGCGCGCUUGACUGCGAGACAGACACGUCGAGCAGGUACGAAAGUAGGUCUUAGUGAUCCGGUGGUUCUGUAUGGAAGGGCCAUCGCUCAACGGAUAAAAGGUACUCCGGGGAUAACAGGCUGAUACCGCCCAAGAGUUCAUAUCGACGGCGGUGUUUGGCACCUCGAUGUCGGCUCAUCACAUCCUGGGGCUGAAGCCGGUCCCAAGGGUAUGGCUGUUCGCCAUUUAAAGUGGUACGCGAGCUGGGUUUAGAACGUCGUGAGACAGUUCGGUCCCUAUCUGCCGUGGACGUUUGAGAUUUGAGAGGGGCUGCUCCUAGUACGAGAGGACCGGAGUGGACGAACCUCUGGUGUUCCGGUUGUCACGCCAGUGGCAUUGCCGGGUAGCUAUGUUCGGAAAAGAUAACCGCUGAAAGCAUCUAAGCGGGAAACUUGCCUCAAGAUGAGAUCUCACUGGAACCUUGAGUUCCCUGAAGGGCCGUCGAAGACUACGACGUUGAUAGGUUGGGUGUGUAAGCGCUGUGAGGCGUUGAGCUAACCAAUACUAAUUGCCCGUGAGGCUUGACCAUAUAACACCCAAGCAAUU